rnacentral:rRNA from 1 species
GACGAACGCUGGCGGCGUGCUUAACACAUGCAAGUCGAGCGGCAGCGCGGGGGCAACCCUGGCGGCGAGCGGCGAACGGGUGAGUAAUGCAUCGGAACGUGUCCUCUUGUGGGGGAUAACCAGUCGAAAGACUGGCUAAUACCGCAUGAGAUCGAGAGAUGAAAGCAGGGGACCCGCAAGGGCCUUGCGCGAGAGGAGCGGCCGAUGCCGGAUUAGCUAGUGGUGGGGUAAUAGCCCACCAAGGCGACGAUCCGUAGCUGGUCUGAGAGGACGACCAGCCACACUGGGACUGAGACACGGCCCAGACUCCUACGGGAGGCAGCAGUGGGGAAUUUUGGACAAUGGGGGCAACCCUGAUCCAGCCAUGCCGCGUGUGUGAAGAAGGCCUGG